rnacentral:rRNA from 1 species
CCUACGGGAGACAGCAGUGAGGAAUAUUGGUCAAUGGACGAGAGUCUGAACCAGCCAAGUAGCGUGAAGGAUGACUGCCCUAUGGGUUGUAAACUUCUUUUAUAUGGGAAUAAAACGUUCCACGUGUGGGAUUUUGUAUGUACCAUAUGAAUAAGGAUCGGCUAACUCCGUGCCAGCAGCCGCGGUAAUACGGAGGAUCCGAGCGUUAUCCGGAUUUAUUGGGUUUAACGGGAGCGUAGGUGGAUUGUUAAGUCAGUUGUGAAAGUUUGCGGCUCAACCGUAAAAUUGCAGUUGAAACUGGCAGUCUUGAGUACAGUAGAGGUGGGCGGAAUUCGUGGUGUAGCGGUGAAAUGCUUAGAUAUCACGAAGAACUCCGAUUGCGAAGGCAGUUCACUGGACUGCAACUGACACUGAGGCUCGAAAGUGUGGGUAUCAAACAGGAUUAGAUACCCUUGUAGUC